rnacentral:lncRNA from 1 species
CUGCCUUUAGGUUACAUGGGAGCAGCAAGGAGGAUACUUGUAUGGAUGGGAUCUACCACAAUUUGAGCAGCCUCUAGUUUUGAUGGAUGCAAAAUAACAAAUACCUAUUGGAAGUUGCAUAGUUAUGCCUCCUUUUAUUAGGAGAAAAACCCAAGUAUAGUACGACCAAACAGGAAGAACCGAGGGAACCAGGAAUGGCUAAAUUAUUACAAAGCGAUCUCUGCUAUAUCACAGAAAAUAAUUCAGAAGAUUAAGUUUCAGAAUCAC